rnacentral:tRNA from 26 species
GGGGGUAUAGCUCAGCUGGGAGAGCACCUGCUUUGCAAGCAGGGGGUCAUCGGUUCGAGCCCGAUUAUCUCCACCA